CGAAAUAUAGCUUAAUUAAAGCAUCUCGCUUACACCGAGAAAAUAUCUGUUAAAUUCAAAUUAUUUCGA
rnacentral:tRNA from 1 species